rnacentral:lncRNA from 1 species
ACUAACAUGAUUACACAUAAUCUAAAAAAAUUUGAGCCAAAAUCUUAUCAACUUGCUCAAGAUAUAGCUCAAAACACAACCACCAGUAAAUCGAGUUAUUUACUAUCCUUAGAUUUGAAGCAUUGACUUCAACUUUCAAUAUCUUCUAUCUUCUAACUUAAAAUCCAUCAAAUAAUAUACCAAAAAUAUAGCCAAAAAAAUGUUCUCUCUAAUCCCUAUUGCCAAUAU